rnacentral:rRNA from 1 species
GUCGACGAGUUCUCGUUGAUGAUCGGUGCUUGCACCGAGAUUCAACAUGGAACGAGUGGCGGACGGGUGAGUAACACGUGGGUAACCUGCCCUUAAGUGGGGGAUAACAUUUGGAAACAGAUGCUAAUACCGCAUAGAUCCAAGAACCGCAUGGUUCUUGGCUGAAAGAUGGCGUAAGCUAUCGCUUUUGGAUGGACCCGCGGCGUAUUAGCUAGUUGGUGAGGUAAUGGCUCACCAAGGCGAUGAUACGUAGCCGAACUGAGAGGUUGAUCGGCCACAUUGGGACUGAGACACGGCCCAAACUCCUACGGGAGGCAGCAGUAGGGAAUCUUCCACAAUGGACGCAAGUCUGAUGGAGCAACGCCGCGUGAGUGAAGAAGGCUUUCGGGUCGUAAAACUCUGUUGUUGGAGAAGAAUGGUCGGCAGAGUAACUGUUGUCGGCGUGACGGUAUCCAACCAGAAAGCCACGGCUAACUACGUGCCAGCAGCCGCGGUAAUACGUAGGUGGCAAGCGUUAUCCGGAUUUAUUGGGCGUAAAGCGAGCGCAGGCGGUUUUUUAAGUCUGAUGUGAAAGCCCUCGGCUUAACCGAGGAAGCGCAUCGGAAACUGGGAAACUUGAGUGCAGAAGAGGACAGUGGAACUCCAUGUGUAGCGGUGAAAUGCGUAGAUAUAUGGAAGAACACCAGUGGCGAAGGCGGCUGUCUGGUCUGUAACUGACGCUGAGGCUCGAAAGCAUGGGUAGCGAACAGGAUUAGAUACCCUGGUAGUCCAUGCCGUAAACGAUGAAUGCUAGGUGUUGGAGGGUUUCCGCCCUUCAGUGCCGCAGCUAACGCAUUAAGCAUUCCGCCUGGGGAGUACGACCGCAAGGUUGAAACUCAAAGGAAUUGAC